CGUACUGAGUUUGUAGCAAGUAUUUAGCGGCAUCCUUUGUUUGCGAGUAUUCAUCCCGUGAUUUUAUAUCACGAUUUAUACUUCGUAGUACGAUUAACAUUUACGUUUAUAUUUAACUUAUUGGUCUCAAAUACAUCUGACGGUUACAACAACAACGACUCGUUAUUAAUCCACACGACCUUCGUCCUCUUCACAUACGAUAACAGCUACACCACGUAAAAAUUUUUUCCAGUAUAGUUGCAGCCAUAUGUAUCGUUGCUAUUUAUAUCGGUCAACAAAAAUCGAUUACAAAGUUAUGACAUUUUCUGUGUUCACUAAUUUGUUUAUCACGUAAAAACUUAACAGCUAUAGGCGAUAUUUGGGUAAAUGCUUUUUGAUAUAAAGUACGACCUUUAUUAAAAGAUUGACAAAAAUAAUUUUCUGAAACUUUCUCAACUCCUACAAUAUUCAACGAGAUUAUAUAAUAUUUUGAAAAUGACAAGAAGGUGGCACGACGCAGUAUAUAUUUUGAAAAAUAUUUCCAUACUCGUGGUGCGGUUGAUUCGCGGCGGGUAAAAAAGCAGAAAAAGGAGAGAGGAAGAGAAAAAGAGAAAAAAGGUUAAAAAACAACGCCGAAAGGGAGAAAUAUUUCGACGGUCUUUUUGGUAUCGCGAAAAACACCGGCAUUCACGGUGAAAUCCAGCCGUAUUAAUGAACGUAUCACGCCGGCCGCGUACAGGUGUGAUCAUUAAUUCUGUUAAACGGCGAUAAAUGACGAGGACGUUAAGUGACGUUGACCCUGUUUUAAUAAUUGUCACGUGCAUCGUAUAUCGACCGAAUCUGUCCGUAUUACGUUACGAGAGAAUAAAAUGGGUAAAGUCAGGUGUUUUGCACGAUGGCCAAUUUAUGGAUAAUUUCGAUGGAAUAACUAUUUUAAGUGUGCUUCAAUGAUCAAUUAGCGCCAAUAAUAAUCUCGUUAAAGGCCGAAAGUGACUGGACAAAAAAACAGCUGCAGUCGCAAUGGCUACUUCUCUCGAUAAAACCACAAUUAAACGAAAGAUAGAAAAUCAUAUUGCGACAAAAGAUUAUCAUUCAUAUGUUACGGUAAAUAUAUUGAUUUAUUAAAUGUGUACGCUUCUUACUGAUGCAAUAUUGCAUUCGUAGAUAACGAAUAUAAGCAUCGCGUAACUCAAAUAUGGUUCUAAUACAAAAUUAAGAAAAUGAUCGGUAAACGACUACAAUAUUUACCUAUCUAUUUCUUAGGUGAAUGGCAAGUUUGUUGAAUUAUUUCUAUAGCGAAAAUAAUAUCGUCGAAUAUUGGAAAACAAUAACCGUGCAAUCUCGCGAUCAAUGCGACAAAAGAAUUUUUUUGGAAGCUGUCCGAAUAAUAGGUUUAUCGAUGCGUAAAUCUCAUCAUCCCACUCCAAUGAUUUUAUUUUCUACCAAAUCAAUCGAAUUAUUUCUGUUCAAUCGGUAUAUACACACAUAUAUAUACAUAUAUCCAUACGUUACAUUUUGCCAUUACCACGAACAGAUCUGUGACUCUAAUCGAUUAACUCUACUUUUCGUAAACUUC
rnacentral:lncRNA from 1 species